rnacentral:lncRNA from 1 species
ACCUCUUACGGGUGGUCUGAUGCUGGUUUCCAAAGUGCGCGCAACCAGAGGACUCUCCGCUUAUUUGAAAAGUGGCGCGUCAAUUUGUAUAUUUCGCCGCGAGCGCCAUCGGAAUUGGCGGGAACCAAUGAGAGUGAAGUUCUGACUUAGUUUCCAUAGAUACCGAUCGACCAAUCAAAUGUUUUGUUUCGGUAUGAACUAUUGAGGUUAGGUGGUAUACAUUUCGAAUUUCGCUGGAAUUUCGUUCCUGGUUUGCCUCGUGUUAAAGUUUAAAGUCUCACACUUCUCACAUAUUAGCCUCAUCAGCCCUCAUUAUGAGAUCGUGCAUUUAUCCAUUACUAUCUAAGUCAAAUUCAACACUUACCAGAAAAGUAUCGAUUUUCUUUCGUCCACGCUCUUCCUUCCCUUCACCUGUCCACGAGUUAGCUCCCACAUCAAUCCAGAGAUGGAUGACCAUGCGACUCCUUGGAACCUGCUCACUACCUCCGUAAAAGUAAGCAGACUGGCCCUCCAAACUUAUAAGCAAGAUGGAAAGGAAAGAAUGACACUGUUGCCUACUUUACCUGUCUUCUUCAAAAUGAAGGACUCAACUGGAAAGCAGGGAGGAAGGGAGAGAAGAACAAAAUUUACGAUCCUAAAUUACUGGAGAUAUACUGCUACAAGUAAUUAAUCAGUUGUGACUGCUUACAUCUGGAAUUGUCAUCCGGUUGAACAAAUUGAAGGAGGUGCUCAGGAAACUGUAGUUGAUCUAGUCUUGACUCUGUUUAGUCAAAAAAAUGGAUUGUAUCUACUCUGCUUUUAUUUUUAUAAAAGUAUGGUCUUUAAGGUAAUUUCAAAAUCGGAAAAGAAAAAUUUUAGGUUAAAAAAAACUUACAUCUUAGACUAUCUUUAAUGCAGACAUCUCAAGGAUCAAGGAUGUACAAGUAAAGUGAUAUUUUGUAGAAUUUCGCUGAAAAUGGGUAUUAAGUUCAGGAUUUUUAGUUUGUUAGAAUUUAGGAUGAACACUUCUGACUUGUAAGAAUUUUGCAUCAGAAUAUUGAAAGGAGACAUUGGCUAUAAUUUCAAAUUUGUUUACAAAGCGUAUCCACAGAUAAAUUUUACGAUAAAGCACUCAAUAACCAAAGAUGAAUUUUACUUGAACUACUCUAAAUCCACCCAAUUAUUUUUUUUGCAACUGUCAUUUAAAUCCUUUGCCAUGGCAUCCCUCAUUUAUUUCUGUUACAUUUGCCAAUAAAUUAUAGUGUGAGCAUAAUAUUUCAGACAGUUUUUCAUAUUUUAUUUUUUUGAGGACAAAUAUCUGCAAUAUUUGCAGCAAUUCUGUGUAUUAUCAUUUUAUCAAAAGAAAUUUGUUAAUGUCCAAAUAUUAAUACAAUGCGUUUCAUUCACAUGGUAGUGCUAUGGAUUAACUUCAAGCACAAACUCACAGACACAAAAAACAAGCGUCAUUUUGAAAUUUUCAACAGUACCUCUGGGUAUUGCCAUUUAUGAAUUGGCUGAUUGCUAUCGUCUUAAAUUUGUUUGAAUUGUUCGCACAGCAUUGUAAAUGGGCACUCAAUAUUUUGUUUCUGCUUUCUUAAUUAGAAAUUUUCUGUAUAAUUACCGGGCAUUUUCACUCUUUUCAUGCCACAUGCCAUUGAUUCAGCUCUGAGCUUUUGCUUUAAUUGGAAUUGUUUUUGCUUUUCAUUUAUAUUGAUGCUGAGCGCAGUCAACUUGUCAGUAGCUUUUGGGAUAGCAUAUGUGACGACAAAUAUUGUCUAAUCCAUUUUGAUUGCCAACUCUUUAAAAUCCCAGCAUUAUUUGAUGAUGCUGAAAGUUACUGACUUGGUCAAAUUACCUGGUUCCUUGGUAUGGUUAACUGCAUGAGGUAAGCAAGGACAAAAUCUAUCAUGAAAAAAGCAUCAAGUGAGAGCACCACAUUCCUGAGGCUGGUUCGACUCUCAUCAAAAAGACUUUUAAGAAUUGAAUUAUUGGAUAGCAUUUUUAAAAUAAGAAAGCAUUCGAAAGACAUAUUUUUAUUCAUAAAAAUCUAAACAACUAUAGGAUAUGUUGGGAGACCAAAAUCCAUAGACCGAAUUUUUCAUGUUAUAUUUUGGCUUUUUCAGAAUUGAAAUGUUAGAGCUGGUUCUGCUGAAAUGAGAUGUUCUAUUCGGUGACCUUCUUCAAAGUCAAAAUUGCAAAAGUUAGAAGAACACUAUGGUGGCUACAUUGGAGAAAAAUUACCAUUCCUCAGUUUUGGAGGUGGGUUGCAAAAGAAUUAUUACCUAAUCAGAGGUUUUACACUUUCAAGUGCGUCAUUAACCUGUUGUAGUUGAAAUGAUCCCUUUUAACAUGACUUUCAUUGUAUUCUCUUAUAGUACAGUACAGUCCCUUCUUUUGUGGUACAAUACACGUACUAGUACUGUACUACAAUGUUGUAUUAUGACUGAACAUAAAAGCUUCCACAAAAAAGCACAUGACAGAGGCAUUCCAUGUGAGAGAAAGCAAAGCUGGUGUAGUGGUAUCACAUGAGUGUACACAUCAGUGCACGUCCACACACAUGACAUUACCAUUAAAUUAUGGUACAUAGCUUCACAUUCCAUUGACAUUACUUUUACAUUGCUUUAAUUUUUUAAUAUUUCAAUUAAAUUUCUUCAUAUUAAAUUCAGCUUUACACAAUUACCUCGGUAUCAUACACUAUGUACACUUAAUGCUAAGUUGCUCAAUUUUUCAUCUGACAAAUCGGCUUUGAAGAGGAUAAUAUGUCCAAAAGUGAUUCAUUUCUUUCAGAGCAGGAGAUUUUCAUACUUUAAAACUAUCCCUUAAAUUGAGGAAACUUCAAAGAAAAAUUGCAGCAAUCGGAGGCUAAAUAGUGAUUACGUAGUAUUACAGAGAAAUAGUAAUGUACCAUAGAAGUAUAGUAGUAAUAAACUAAGAAAAGAAUAAGUAUUUUUAUUUUAUUUUAUUUUCAUUUUAAUACAUGAGAGCCACAAGGCCAUGGUAUACGUCAAGCUACGGAGAGGACGAAAAAGAAAAUUUUACAUUUCAGUCAAGCACUAAAUAUCACAAUCAACUGGACACUAAAUAACAAAAAAGAACAGAGGAAGAUAAUUAGCUAAAAACCAAGAAAAACAAGGACAGCUAUUCAUCCAAAAGGGUGUCCGAAUUUACACCAUUCAGUAACUCAUCAACACUGUAGAACGCAUUUUUGAGUGGAUAUUGCAAAAGCUUAUAUAGGAAAAAAUUUACAAGGCCAUCACGGAAGAUAGAUUUUAUUUCCCAAGGAAGGGCAUUAAACAUUUGGAUCGGUGAAUAUUUUACACUGCGCUUUCUUAAAGCUGCUUACUCCUUAUAAUUUGAGCUAUUUCACUUCCAUGGCUCUCAGAAACGAGUUGGAUGUGUGAAGAAGUUGGUAAUCUGCAGUUAAACUUACAUGAAGCUGCGCACAUGGGUUUACCAAGAUCGUAGGAUAUCCAUUCACCUAUUCCUCGUAAUUUUUUAAGAAUACCAGUAUUUCUAAUACUAAAACUAAAAUCACCGAUAACUCCUCUUUCUCCAGACUUUUUUCUCCUUAACUGAUUUUGCAUCUCAUUUUUAGCUGUUUGUAGGGAAAGAAGUGCAGACCUAAGUUGGUGCAAGUCAGUGCUAUUUUUUUGUCAGGACAAACCUCUUUGAUGUGUGUAGACAGUCGAAUUACUGCUGAGUGAUAUAAGUUACAGGCUUUGCAAAUUCUGUUGACCAAUUGUUUUUGAACGCUAAAGCAGUAAAGGUCAUAAAUGGAAUGGCUUUAAAGGCAAGUGCUGUGCAUUGAAGGAGGUUUGAUGUAGUCAUGUUGUAGUUGAUGAAAAGCGGUCCUCAGUAUCGGAGAUUGAAAACUCAGGGCUUUGUAAGUCCAUAUCAUUUUGAAUCAAUGGAAUAGAAUGGCGGUAGAAUGGCAGAGGUAAAAUUUUGAAAAGGUCGCUUCGAGCUGCUGAACUUCACAAUUCACUUCACAAUAUUCAGGAAAUACUGACUUUUCCACACAUGUUUCUGGGGUAAAAUGGGUUUGGUAUACACUUUGUGUUCCUUUGGGCUCAGCUAGUAUGCAGUUCGGCGGUCUCAACUCAGGAAACUUUGAGAAUCCAAUGUGAAUAGUGGGGUUUUGCCAUGGACCAAAUAAAAGCUUCGCUUUAGGACCCCUCACUCCCAUAAGGCCCUGUGUAAUUUUGUGUCCUCAAUUUCUUGACGGAUCUGAGCGCUAUCUGCCAGAAGUCCCGCUGAACUAACUGGUCAUUCGGCCGCCCGUAGGCGCGCGGGCUUUUCAAAAUGAGGUAUCUUGCGCGGGCUUUUAUAAAAUCUAUUAGUGGUCGCGCCCCCGGGAGGGACGCCGUAUGAGUACCAAUAAUUUUCUUCUUUCUCAGUUUUCUAAGACCACUUCACAUUGAACAGAUGACUGAAUUCUUGGGUAACAUUGAAAGGAUUGGUUACACAUUCAAGGGAACCCUUCAGUCACAAUGUUUGCAGUAAAAUGAUCCUGGAAACCUAAGAGAUGAAAAAUAGUGGCACUCUUAAGGCAGGUAAUUGAAAAUGUAAAAAAGUGAUUAUUUGGUUUAGGUAACAUUCUAAGACCUAUCAUUUAUUAUGGUUUGUUCUAAUUCUCUUCAGGAUCAGACAUCACAGGACAUCAAUUAUGAAUCGAGACCAAUAAAUCAUAAAGUUUUUUAAAUAGAAUAUUUGAAUUGUCGUUAAAAAAGGGAGAAAAUAGAAAUAUUUAGUAAAUCAUUGCUCAGUUUUGGAAG